AAUUAGUUUUUAUCUAGGGUUUGUGCCUUCUCCCCCUCCCACCCCUCCGCCUCCUUCCCCUUCGGCCUUCUUCUAGCAGUCCGCCGCCACCCGCGCCGCCCCUUCUGUCUGCCGCCGCCCUCGCCCUAGCAGUCCGCCCCUUGCCCGGCGACCAUGGCGUUGCGAUUGUAGGAGCCGAGAUCCCCAACGCAAACCGCGACUGGCCAAACAGCGGAACCCACGACUCUAGCCUCAGCGUCUCCGACAGCGCCGCCUCGAGUAUCGUCCAGCCACUUAGCGGUGUCUCUGCCGUGCGAUUUACCAGUGGAUUUCCCUCCGGCAGGUUUACCAAUGGCACGCCAAUUUAUUUUGGGGUUUUCUUUAAAUUUUCCUUUCAAUUCCACUCAUUUGGUGAACUCCGUCGUUGCACCGCCGCCGCGUAGCCGUCGCGCCGCCGUCUUCCCCGCCUCAGAUCUCGCGAUUCAGUUGCGAGAUUAUAAUUUGUGUCAUUAGAAUUGCAGAUCUCGCGAUUCACCGCGCCUCCGCCCGAUCUCGCCGCUCCUCCGCACUCGCCGACAGCCCUUGCCACCACCUCCGUUCAGCAGCAAUAGCGACCGUGUUGAAAACAAGGGUUAUUCAUCUCUCCUGUCGUGUACAGUAACAAACAUCAAUAGUUCUGUGACGAAGCUGAUGACCUUGGGUGCCGAACUGGAUGGCCCGAUCAAGCACGAAAUCCAUGGAAAGGGAUAAAUGGCGGAAGGGGACGUUUGGUGGCUUUUGCUCUUUAUAUUAUUAAAGGGCUUAUACUGUUCAUUAAGAAUUAGUAGUGUCAAUUUUAUGCCGACUUCUCUGUCAAGGCAGGUAACAAGGCAGCCAAAUUUCGAACUCCUAUCUGUUUGUGCUUCAUUGGAGUUGUAAUGAGUUAUAGAAUGUAUAUCUAUUCUUAUUGUUAUGUUCUUUUUUCUGGGUGCUCAACUGCUGCAUAUAAAGGAAAGCGUGCAGCAACAUUGGCUGCUUGUAGGAUGUUGGCUGAAGAUCCAACCAAGCUGUGUUUUCCAGCUACUAGGAUUGUUGCAUUUAAGGUGGCAAUAACAGUCAGCAGGAAGAUAGGAAGCUAGAUGUGGCAUUUUGGUUGGUGUUUUGUACUCCCUCCGUCCACAAAUUAAUGCCCUACUUGGGUCCUGGCACGGAGACUAAGAAAGCUGAAAAAGGUGAUGUGGAUGAAAUAUAAGGGUAGUUGACUAAAGUGAUAAAGUAGUUGACUAAAGUGAUAAAGUGAUAAAGUGUAGUAAAUAUAGAAUAUAAAAGUGAAAAAGGUGUUUGAAGGUGGGUCCAUUAGUGGCAAAGGGUAGUAAAUAUAGAAAAAGUAGGAGAGUAAAAAGGUACAAAAAGCAAAUCAGGGCAUUAAUUUGUGGACAGUUUUUUAAAGCCAAACAGGGCAUUAAAUUGUGGACGGAGGGAGUAUGUCUUUUGAAUCUGGAAAAAAUGUAAGAAUUUGGUGAAGCAAGUGUUGAACACCAUUUUUUCGUUAAUAUUGUUUGGAUGUAAAUUACAUGACUACUUUAGGUACUUUGAAGCUACAAUGUAUGGAAGUUUAAGUUAUUUUAUAUAUAAUAUGUUUUGGAUUGUAUUA